rnacentral:rRNA from 1 species
CGUUCCCGGGCCUUGUACACACCGCCCGUCACACCAUGGGAGUUGGUUUUACCUUAAGGCGGUGGGCUAACCCGCAAGGGAGGCAGCCGACCACGGUAAGGUCAGCGACUGGGGUG